AUGGUUCUGGAUCCAGGCAAAACCAAAGCUCUUGGGGGGGAAAGCAGAUUUCCACAGAGAGAAGGCCCUGAUCUAGGAAAAAGUGGGAACAACUUCAGAAUUCCCUGUAACAAGUGCAAAGAUUUCAGACAUCAAACUAGAGAUUGCAAGCUUACUAACUGUAUCAUCUGUGGAAAAAAUUCUCACAUCACUGAAGAUUGCAACUGGAUGAAACAGAUUAAGCCCCUGCCUAAAUAUGUUGGAUAUGCAGCCAGAGGUUUGGGAGUGCUCUUGGUUCAAAAUUCUAGGGAGGUGGUGAGUAGUGAGCAGAUUAACCCGAUAGGAAUUGUCACUAUUGCCUCUGGGGAGAUCAAUGAGACACAAUUCUUGGAGGGGUUUAACUACAUGUUCAAAUGGGACUGGCAAUGGAGAUGCAAAAAACAUGGAGAUAGGGCUUAUCUCAUGAGGUUCCCCAACAAGAGCAGACUGACUGAAUUACACAAGUUUGGAAACAUUAACCUGCUGGGGACAAAGGCUGUCAUAAAUGUGGAUAGUUGGACCUAUGAUACACAAGCCAUAGGAAAGUUGCACACUGUGUGGGUGAAAAUUGGCAAAAUGCCUGAGUGUUUCAGACAUUUUUUGGGGCUUGUGAAGUAG
rnacentral:rRNA from 1 species